rnacentral:rRNA from 1 species
CAUGCAAGUCGAGCGGUAACGCGGGGGCAACCCUGGCGACGAGCGGCGGACGGGUGAGUAACGCGUAGGAAUCUACCUGGUAGUGGGGGAUAGCCCGGGGAAACUCGGAUUAAUACCGCAUACGCCUUAAGGGGGAAAGCAGGGGAACUUCGGUCCUUGUGCUAUCAGAAGAGCCUGCGUUGGAUUAGCUAGUUGGUAGGGUAAAGGCCUACCAAGGCGACGAUCCAUAGCUGGUCUGAGAGGAUGAUCAGCCACACUGGGACUGAGACACGGCCCAGACUCCUACGGGAGGCAGCAGUGGGGAAUAUUGGACAAUGGGGGCAACCCUGAUCCAGCCAUGCCGCGUGUGUGAAGAAGGCCUUCGGGUUGUAAAGCACUUUAAGUGGGGAGGAAGGGGUCAACGCUAAUACCGUUGAUCAUUGACGCUACCCACAGAAUAAGCACCGGCUAACUCUGUGCCAGCAGCCGCGGUAAUACAGAGGGUGCAAGCGUUAAUCGGAAUUACUGGGCGUAAAGCGCGCGUAGGCGGCUAAUUAAGUCGGGUGUGAAAGCCCCGGGCUCAACCUGGGAAUUGCAUCCGAUACUGAUUGGCUAGAGUAUGAGAGAGGGAGGUAGAAUUCCACGUGUAGCGGUGAAAUGCGUAGAUAUGUGGAGGAAUACCGGUGGCGAANGCGGCCUCCUGGCUUAAUACUG